GUCUAUGGCCAUAUCACCCUGAAUGUGUCUGACCUCGUCUGAUCUCAGAAGCUAGGCAGGGUCAAGCCUGGUUAGUACUUGGAUGGGGGAAUAAAUAAGCAAAAGUCCAUGUUGAUAGGCU
ensembl:rRNA 5S_rRNA 5S ribosomal RNA